rnacentral:misc_RNA from 1 species
UUAUCAUUAUAAAUUCAAGAUGGCCGCCGCUACAAAAUGGCGGAUAAUUUAUGUUUUAUCAAUCCCAUCAACAUGGGUAUCAAAUGAAAGGUCUCAACAAGUAGAAUACAAUUUACUAUGCAAAAUUGAAAUCUAAGCUGACCGCCGCUACCAAAUGUCUGAUAACAAUUUUUUAUCAAUCCCACCAAUAUGGGUAUCAAAUAAAAGGGCUUGACAAGAAGAAUACAGUGCACUAUACAACCUCAAUAUUUAAGAUGGGCCUUGCAAUAAUGAAGCACUAAAUAAAUUAAACAGAAUGCGAAAUAAAAAC